AGGAAUAUUGGUCAAUGGGCGGGAGCCUGAACCAGCCAAGUCGCGUGAGGGAUUAAGGCCCUACGGGUCGUAAACCUCUUUUGCCGGGGAGCAGGGCGGCGGACGUGUCCGCCGUUUGAGAGUACCCGGAGAAAAAGCAUCGGCUAACUCCGUGCCAGCAGCCGCGGUAAUACGUAGGUGGCGAGCGUUAUCCGGAAUGAUUGGGCGUAAAGGGUGCGCAGGCGGUCCUGCAAGUCUGGAGUGAAACGCAUGAGCUCAACUCAUGCAUGGCUUUGGAAACUGGAGGACUGGAGAGCAGGAGAGGGCGGUGGAACUCCAUGUGUAGCGGUAAAAUGCGUAGAUAUAUGGAAGAACACCAGUGGCGAAGGCGGCCGCCUGGCCUGUUGCUGACGCUGAGGCACGAAAGCGUGGGGAGCAAAUAGA
rnacentral:rRNA from 1 species